UCCAUCAGAGACAUGAGAAGAACAUUGUUGGCCUCUGAGAACUCCAUUCCCAACUCAAACACACACUCUGAGGAAGACAUGUUUGUGAAAAAAAAGGAGUUUUUGAGUAACCCUUUUUUCUUUUGGUUUAUGAAAAUGGUUAAAGAGAGAGAAGUAGAAGAAAUUAAGGUUGUUGCAGAUGCAAGAUGAGUUUGAAAGGUGAAGAAGGGACCUUUAUAUAGACAAAAAUAAUGCAUGUUGUUUUGGUUGUUGGUACUCUAGGUCAAUAGAUAAGAUUCAUAGAAUUGUGGCUAAGGAAAAUAUCUGCAUAAUUGUGAUGAAAAAACUAUUAAUUGUUUGACCCAUUGAUGUGUAGAUGUGGAGCAACAGGGCAUUGGGGGUGGGCAAUAUAUGGUAUUAGGGUAUCCAUAAUGCACCCACUAAAGGUUGCAACAGUGGGGCAUCAGAAACCAGACAAUAUGCCCACCUAAUGACCAAUAAUUAAGUAAUGCAAUAUUUUUUUGAAAGGAAUUUGAAGGAACCAUCCAUGAUUAAUACUUCUGCAGGAGUGUCGGCUAUGGGUUGGAAACCUCAAUGUGACGAUGUUAGAGAAGAAUGUGAAAUGAUUUGAUUCUUGAUUAUAGGAAAUUUCAAUGUCAUAAUUGUUGCAUGUUGAAGAAUGAAAUUAUCUUU
rnacentral:lncRNA from 1 species